AGUCUCUGUGCAUGGUUCUAGAGACUCAUCUCUGCUGACCAUAGAUGCUUGACGUGGUGACACUUCCUUGUCGAGAUCCUUCUCAGUUCCUCCUCCAGGCUACCUUCCUUCAUUUGUUGAGUGACUAGAGAAAACUUUACAUUAACAAGGAAGAGAAAGUCUCCAGUGCUCUUCAAGAGGACCUCUGGAAAGAAUAAGGAAAAGAGGAAAGAUGAAUGAGGAAUGAGUACUUUCCAGUUUAUGUAAUGAGCAUCAGACAGUGGGACUGGAUAACUGUGAGCUGCUUGAAGGAGCACUACAAAACUUCUUAUUGUGCGCCAUCAUUCCCAAGGUGAAUUGUUUCCAUAGUUGAGGAAUUAUCCACACUUAAAGGAGGUGGUCAGGUGAGCAGAGUUCUAGACCAGCAGCAGAAAAACGAUGAGACCAAUGAAGCCCAGAUCUCCAGAAUAUAAAAGGCUUCUAGCUGCAAUAGCAUGUUAGAUUUGGCUAGGAAGCCAGUGUUCCUCUCUU